AACGAACGCUGGCGGCAUGCCUAACACAUGCAAGUCGAACGAAGCCUUCGGGCUUAGUGGCGCACGGGUGCGUAACGCGUGGGAAUCUGCCCUUGGGUUCGGAAUAACAGUUAGAAAUGACUGCUAAUACCGAAUGAUGUCUUCGGACCAAAGAUUUAUCGCCCAAGGAUGAGCCCGCGUCGGAUUAGCUGGUUGGUGAGGUAAAGGCUCACCAAGGCGACGAUCCAUAGCUGGUCUGAGAGGAUGAUCAGCCACACUGGGACUGAGACACGGCCCAGACUCCUACGGGAGGCAGCAGUGGGGAAUAUUGGACAAUGGGCGAAAGCCUGAUCCAGCAAUGCCGCGUGAGUGAUGAAGGCCUUAGGGUUGUAAAGCUCUUUUACUGGGGAUGAUAAUGACAGUACCCAGAGAAUAAGCUCCGGCUAACUCCGUGCCAGCAGCCGCGGUAAU
rnacentral:rRNA from 1 species